rnacentral:rRNA from 1 species
AUGCCAAUGGCAUUGCCCGGUAGCUAAGUUCGGAAUCGAUAAGUGCUGAAAGCAUCUAAGCACGAAGCGAGCCCUGAGAUGAGUCUUCCCUGGCGCUUUAAGCGUCCUAAAGGGUUGUCGGAGACUACGACGUUGAUAGGUUGGGUGUGUAAGCGCUGCGAGGCGUUGAGCUAACCAAUACUAAUUGCCCGUGAGGCUUAACCAU